rnacentral:rRNA from 1 species
GCCAGACUCCUACGGGAGGCAGCAGUGAGGAAUAUUGGUCAAUGGACGAGAGUCUGAACCAGCCAAGUAGCGUGAAGGAUGACUGCCCUAUGGGUUGUAAACUUCUUUUAUAUGGGAAUAAAAUGUUCCACGUGUGGGAUUUUGUAUGUACCAUAUGAAUAAGGAUCGGCUAACUCCGUGCCAGCAGCCGCGGUAAUACGGAGGAUCCGAGCGUUAUCCGGAUUUAUUGGGUUUAAAGGGAGCGUAGGUGGAUUGUUAAGUCAGCGGUCAAAUCGUGGGGCUCAACCCCAUCCAGCCGUUGAAACUGGGGAUCUUGAGUGCGCGAGAAGUAUGCGGAAUGCGUGGUGUAGCGGUGAAAUGCAUAGAUAUCACGCAGAACUCCGAUUGCGAAGGCAGUAUACCGGCGCCCAACUGACGCUGAAGCACGAAAGCGUGGGUAUCGAACAGGAUUAGAUACCCCCGUA